UAAAGGUAUUCCGGUAGACGAUGGGGAUGCGUUCCAUUAGAUAGUAGGCGGGGUAACGGCCCACCUAGUCUUCGAUGGAUAGGGGUUCUGAGAGGAAGGUCCCCCACAUUGGAACUGAGACACGGUCCAAACUCCUACGGGAGGCAGCAGUGAGGAAUAUUGGUCAAUGGGCGCAGGCCUGAACCAGCCAAGUAGCGUGAAGGAUGACUGCCCUAUGGGUUGUAAACUUCUUUUAUAAAGGAAUAAAGUCGGGUAUGGAUACCCGUUUGCAUGUACUUUAUGAAUAAGGAUCGGCUAACUCCGUGCCAGCAGCCGCGGUAAUACGGAGGAUCCGAGCGUUAUCCGGAUUUAUUGGGUUUAAAGGGAGCGUAGACGGAUGUUUAAGUCAGUUGUGAAAGUUUGCGGCUCAACCGUAAAAUUGCAGUUGAUACUGGAUAUCUUGAGUGCAGUUGAGGCAGGCGGAAUUCGUGGUGUAGCGGUGAAAUGCUUAGAUAUCACGAAGAACUCCGAUUGCGAAGGCAGCCUGCUAAGCUGCAACUGACAUUGAGGCUCGAAAGUGUGGGUAUCAAACAGGAUUAGAUACCCUGGUAGUCCACACGGUAAACGAUGAAUACUCGCUGUUUGCGAUAUACGGCAA
rnacentral:rRNA from 1 species